CCUACGGGGGGCUGCAGUGGGGAAUAUUGGACAAUGGGGGCAACCCUGAUCCAGCCAUGCCGCGUGUGUGAAGAAGGCCCUCGGGUUGUAAAGCACUUUCAGUGAGGAAGAACGCCUGGUGGUUAAUACCCAUCAGGAAAGACAUCACUCACAGAAGAAGCACCGGCUAACUCCGUGCCAGCAGCCGCGGUAAUACGGAGGGUGCGAGCGUUAAUCGGAAUUACUGGGCGUAAAGCGCGCGUAGGUGGCUUGAUAAGCCGGUUGUGAAAGCCCCGGGCUCAACCUGGGAACGGCAUCCGGAACUGUCAAGCUAGAGUGCAGGAGAGGAAGGUAGAAUUCCCGGUGUAGCGGUGAAAUGCGUAGAGAUCGGGAGGAAUACCAGUGGUGAAGGCGGCCUUCUGGACUGACACUGACACUGAGGUGCGAAAGCGUGGGUAGCAAACAGGAUUAGAUACCCCAGUAGUC
rnacentral:rRNA from 1 species